ACUAUUAUUUUGCAUUUGCGGUCUUGUAACAGACUUGUAAAAAACUGUGUGUAUUUUAUUUCUUACAAUUUGCAGGAGUGAGAUAUCAAACCUAAGGCUAUAUACGAGUAUAUUAAGACAUCUAAAGAAAAAGAAUGUUGUUAGUGAAGGCAUCGUUUGUAUUGUUUAUUGUCGCCUACAUUGUGAUCCCAGUGAGAGCACCCCUACCUAGUGAUUGCACCUCACAAUGUCCUGUGUUUGAUUCAAGCUUAUGCACGAAUGGCUUUCAUAUACCGCCAGGCCAGUGCUGCGAACAGUGUAAAGGAGACAAUGCAGACAGUGACGAUUCCAACAGUGAGGAUACAGACAGUGACAGCAGUUCUAGAUGAGAACACAAACAUUUGACAUUUAUAAUUAUAUAUCUGAUUUGUAUUCAAUAGUAUACAAUAUGUAGUACGAUCAAGAAAUGCUAGAAACAAAAAACACAAAACAAAAAAAAAAACAAUAACACACGCUUCAUUCCGGUAUUUUUGACAGGACAUUUUUGUAUUAAAGGGUAUAUAGCUUUAUUUUAUGAAAUGUUUUAUAGUUCAUUAACAGUAAAAUAAUGUUGUUACUUAUUAUUAUAAUGUAAUGGCUGAUUCUAAGAAGAGUAGUAACAUAAAAUGUUUCUGUUAUUCUGCACAUUGAUAAUGUAUGUACACUGAAUAAAAUGAUCCGUAACAAAAUUGUUUUCAUACAGAUUUUUUGGAAGUAUAUUUGUAUUAUUUUUUUUAACUAAAUUAACAUUUUAAGCAGAUAUAUAGCUUUAUGAUAUACACUUUAAGUUAAUACAUUGUGCGCAUGAAAAGAUUCAAAAUCUGCAGAAGUGUAUAUUAUAUUCAAGAAAGAAAAGAUAUAAAAACAAACAUUUUAUUCCGUCAUAUUAGAAAUCUAUACACGUUAGAAUUGACAUGUAUUAGAUAUAGAUACAAACGCUUGUAAAAGUUCUAGUAAUAAUAAAGCAAAAAAGCAUUA